ensembl:rRNA 5S_rRNA 5S ribosomal RNA
CAGCAUGGCCAUACCAUCCUGAAUGCACCCCCCCCCAUAUACAUCUUGUCUGAUCUCAGAAGUUAAGCAGGCCCUGGGCCUGGUUAGCACUUGGACAAGAGAGGUCAUGAUCACAUACCUU